rnacentral:rRNA from 1 species
AACGAACGCUGGCGGCAUGCCUAACACAUGCGAGUCGAACGAGACCUUCGGGUCUAGUGGCGCACGGGUGCGUAACGCGUGGGAAUCUGCCCUUGGGUCCGGAAUAACUCAGAGAAAUUUGAGCUAAUACCGGAUGAUGACGUAAGUCCAAAGAUUUAUCGCCCAGGGAUGAGCCCGCGUAGGAUUAGCUAGUUGGUGAGGUAAAGGCUCACCAAGGCGACGAUCCUUAGCNGGUCUGAGAGGAUGAUCAGCCACACUGGGACUGAGACACGGCCCAGACUCCUACGGGAGGCAGCAGUGGGGAAUAUUGGACAAUGGGCGAAAGCCUGAUCCAGCAAUGCCGCGUGAGUGAUGAAGGCCUUAGGGUUGUAAAGCUCUUUUACCCGGGAUGAUAAUGACAGUACCGGGAGAAAUAAGCCCCGGCUAACUCCGUGCCAGCAGCCGCA